rnacentral:rRNA from 1 species
CCUACGGGUGACAGCAGUGAGGAAUAUUGGUCAAUGGACGAGAGUCUGAACCAGCCAAGUAGCGUGAAGGAUGACUGCCCUAUGGGUUGUAAACUUCUUUUAUAUGGGAAUAAAACGUUCCACGUGUGGGAUUUUGUAUGUACCAUAUGAAUAAGGAUCGGCUAACUCCGUGCCAGCAGCCGCGGUAAUACGGAGGAUCCGAGCGUUAUCCGGAUUUAUUGGGUUUAAAGGGAGCGUAGGUGGAUUGUUAAGUCAGUUGUGAAAGUUUGCGGCUCAACCGUAAAAUUGCAGUUGAAACUGGCAGUCUUGAGUACAGUAGAGGUGGGCGGAAUUCGUGGUGUAGCGGUGAAAUGCUUAGAUAUGACGAAGAACUCCGGUUGCGAAGGCAGUUCACUGGACUGCAACUGACACUGAGGCUCGAAAGUGUGGGUAUCAAACAGGAUUAGAUACCCCGGUAGUC